AACGGGAACCUACUAACGGAGACUUCGGUUGAAGAUAGUAGAAUUCAGUGGCGGAAUGGGUCGAGUAACGCGUGGGUAACCUACACAAGAAUUGGAUAACAGCGAGAAAUUGUUGCUAAUACAAUAUAAGCUUACGUUGUCGCAUGACAGAGUGAGAAAAGAUUUAUCGCUUGUAGAUGGACCCGCGUUUGAUUAGCUAGUUGUGGGGUAGAGGGCCUACCAAAGCGACGAUCAAUAGCCGGCCUGAGAGGGUGACCGGCCACAUUGGGACUGAGACACGGCCCAAACUCCUACGGGAGGCAGCAGUGGGAAUAUUGCACAAUGGGGGGAACCCUGAUGCAAGCAACGCCGCGUGAGUGAAGAAGUAUUUCGGUAUGUAAAGCUCUAUCGAUAGGGAAUAAGAUGAAGGUACCUAAGUAAGAAGCCCCGGCUAACUACGUGCCAGCAGCAGC
rnacentral:rRNA from 1 species